rnacentral:tRNA from 2 species
GCCUGAGUGGUGGAAUUGGUAGACACGCUGUGUUCAGGACGCAGUGGGGAACACCCGUGGGGGUUCGACUCCCUCCUCAGGCA